CCAGCUGAAUGGGAACAGGGAGCAACAGGAACCCCAUUGAACAGGACCGCUGCAGAGCAGAGGCCCUUCUCGCCGCCGGGCCCGGAGCUGCUGCCCACGCCGGCGGGCCGGCCACCUAACGCGCCACGACUCCAGUCCGGAAAACCCAGGUCCUCUCAUGGCCUGGCCUUGAAAUAAACCCACUUUCCUUCCAACACUCUCUGGGACUGGUAGGCAGUUGGCGCUUCAUUGUUGGAGUAUCAGGAAGGCGCCCUCCAUAGCAGCUGUUGCUAGCAUGGGGCGAGGAGAGGGAGACGGCAACGGCUCUUGGAGGAAGCUGAGCGCACAGGCCUUGGCCACAGCCCUGCUGCUGACCUGUAGCCAAGGCUCGGCCUCCGGGGCCCCCACUCCGCCCCGGGGAGAGAGCCCCUGCGAGUGCCCCGCGUGGAGCUGCUGCCGAGGGGAAGUGGCUGGUUGCUGCAAAGCAGCUGGUGCGGUGCGCGGCACCUGUAAGUUUUGGGCAGAAUGUCUCUGUUCCCCGUGGCUUCCCGAUGCUUCCCUUCCUGUCUCUGCCAAGGGGUCCCGCAUGCACCUCCCUUGAUCUGAGCUGCCCAGAUCUGAGCUGCUGGUGGGUGACUGCCCACGGCCAUGUCACAGGUGUCCCCCAGGCCUCUAAGCCUCACGACACAGUGAGCUCCUCCGCUGGUGAGGAGGGAAGAGCAGAGCAGGGAAGCAGCACCAGACUGCCAGUCAGUGUGUGUCCCUCGGUCCCCCACCCCGCAGGCUCUUGGUCCCCUUCAGUGGGCAGCCCGUUGCUCCCAGCUGCUCUCGUAAGACAGGGAGGAUGAUUGUUGAUUACUUUGCAGUGGCUUUUCUCGAACUUUCUCCUACUCUUUUUGCCUAAAUGGAUUAUUUUCAGGAAAUCUAUGUUGUAAGACGGGACUCGGCAAACUAUGGUCUUGCGGCCAAGUCCCUCCCACAGCUUGUCCUUGUAAAUAAAGUUUUAUUGGCACAUA